rnacentral:rRNA from 1 species
AUUGAACGCUGGCGGCAUGCUUUACACAUGCAAGUCGAACGGUAACAGGGUGCUUGCACCGCUGACGAGUGGCGAACGGGUGAGUAAUGCGUCGGAACGUGCCGAGUAGUGGGGGAUAACGCAGCGAAAGUUGUGCUAAUACCGCAUACGUACUGAGGUAGAAAGUGGGGGACCUUCGGGCCUCACGCUAUUCGAGCGGCCGACGUCUGAUUAGCUAGUAGGUGAGGUAAAGGCUCACCUAGGCGACGAUCAGUAGCGGGUCUGAGAGGAUGAUCCGCCACACGGGGACUGAGAAACGGCCCAGACUCCUACGGGAGGCAGCAGUGGGGAAUUUUGGACAAUGGGCGAAAGCCUGAUCCAGCCAUGCCGCGUGUCUGAAGAAGGCCUUCGGGUUGUAAAGAACUUUUGUCGGGGAGGAAAUCCCCAGCGCUAAUACCGCUGGGGGAUGACAGUACCUGAAGAAUAAGCACCGGCUAACUACGUGCCAGCAGCCGCCGCGGUAA